rnacentral:misc_RNA from 1 species
GUGAAUCAUCGAAUUUUUGAACGCAAAUUGCGCUUCCUGGCAUCCCGGGAAGUAUGCCUGUUUGAGGGUCAUUAUUAAUCAAAAAUCGGGUUAGUUGCAAAUUGUGACGUUUCCGGAGUUUGGGCUAUCUUAACAUUUUUGGCUACGAGGCUUAAAGUUGACCUUUUUUUCGCAUUUGUAAACGUACAUAAAUUUUUUUUAUCCGUCUAUUCUUAAUUCCAAAAUCUUAUUAGAUGCGAUCACAUCGUUAGCCGUCGU